UGUGCUGCGGAGACAACACAGGGGUUAAGGGAGCCGCGGGCAGCCAGCACACACCAGCCCCACCCGGCUGUCUCGCAGCACGCGGCUCACAGUACAUGGCAAUCAAGAGUGGGAAAGAGGAUCCGGUUUCUGACUCUUCACAAAAUGACUCAAAAAUAGCUGAGCCCAAACUGCAAGCCCAGCUGCAGCCCAGCCAUAGGUCAGAGGACAGCUGGGAAGACACGGAGAGUGUGGGAAAUCAAAGACGCGCCCAGGCGGGAUGGAUGUGUGUGCCCACGUGUGUGGAGCAGCCGGCACCUCGCCCACACAGACACGCCCCAGGACAGACUCCUCGUGGAAUCCGGUCACGCGGGAGCCAGCAUGUUAUGGGGCAGCUCAGCCAUCUGGCCAUCACCUCCGUAUACUGCUGUUUCCUACUCGCUUUCAGCUAUCCAGUAUGCACCCCUCAGGAAAAUACGGAAACAGUGACAGUAUUUGCAGUACUUCUGGAAUGCCAGCUGCUCUAAGCUGAGGGUUGUGGAGAGCAGUGAUGUAGGCAGUUAGACGGACAUGAGCAGAGCGAGGAGGAUGGCGAGUAUAGGUCACCAGGAUGGAAAGCCCAGCUGGCCUAGCAAGAGACAGUCAAUUGCUGGGUGGGACCUCAGCCCCAGGGCGACCUUCCUCCCCUAGCAAAUCGCUGGUCAUGAGGGUUGGACCCCUGACUUUCCCUCCCGCGAGGUAACAUCUCUGUGUGUUUGGAGCAGUUGUUUCAGCCCCAGGCCCAGACAAGCAGCAAACCCGGCCACGCUGACGUCAGGGCCAGCUGCACUGGACAGUGACCCUGCCCUGGUGCCGGCCAGUCACUCAGUGGAGAGCACAGCCGGAGAGGACACACCUGGACGCUGCUGCCUCUUCUACUGGACCUUCCCGGGAGCUGCCCACAAUCUCCGCCCUGAGAGCCCUGAGGACGGAGGGCCCAGGGCCGCUCCCUCCUGGGAGCACAGCCUGCCUCCCCUUCCCUCCACCCAGGCAGGUCCCUGAGCUUCCUCGGCCCCCGCUCCAAGGCCCCUCCACAGCUUGUCUGCUGACCAUUUCUUCUGGGCGUGACUUCUCCCUGCGGUUCACCCAGCACAUGCUCUCUGUGGUUUGGGUCUUGUCUGAAUUCCUUCCCAGCCAGAACCCAGGUUCUGAGGUUGCUGACCCCACCAGUCAGACGCCGGGCGCCGGGCCCCCGCCUACAACAGCAGCACCUACUUACCACCGCUCAACUACUCAGGGCCUCGCUGCAUCCCACACUCCUCUGUGCCGGCUGGGCGGCGUCCUGCCCUGCUCUCUGCCAUCCAGAAGCUACCCAGAAGGCCGCCAAGCCAGCCUCUGCCCCCUGCCCAUGCACUCGGGCCCCCGGGCUCAGCGGGCGGCAGGUCUGGGACUCUUUUGUCCCCACUGUGGCAAUCGGCUCUCCUCCAGGCCUGCAAGGCUGAGCUCUAGGAAUGCAGCCGCCUGGUGGAUGCAGGGAGUCCGCGCCCAGAAUUACUCAUGGAGUGAGGUCACUGCAACGCUCCGUUCUCAUGUGGCAAUGUGCUCGCUGCUUCAGACAGACAGUCCUGCCUGACAAGCAGCUGCUGCUCACCCGGCCCAGCUCCCAGCGCGCCCAGGACUGACACGGACACAGAUCCCCCGCUCGGACGGUUCACAGCCGCUGGCGGCGGUCAGGCUGGCCAGGACACAGGGCCCAGUGAGGCGCUGCCUCUUGCCGAGGCGGUGACCACACCCAGCCUGGCCGUGUCUACCUGUCUCCUCAUUGACAAAGGAGAACUCGGUCUGCCCUCUCCAUCGCUCGGACGGACGGAGAGACAAAGCGUGGGAGGAAAACAGUCAUGCCCCUAAGUGAGCGUGAGUUAUUGUUCUCUCUCUCGCCUGCCUUACAGGCUACUAGGGGACAACAGGCUUUUAUCUAUUUCACUUCUGUAGCCUUUUUCCCAAGAAUACGACUCUUCUUUGAAACAAAAAAACCCUACAGCAUUUCUUCUUUUAAAAAGUUAUUUGAUUGAAUAACUUUUUUUGUAGAAGACUGGACUUUGGUCACCUCAACAUCAUUUUAUGGUGACAUCACAUUUGCUGUGGACACAGGAAUCAGGCUGGAUCCACAGCUACUCAGGCUAAUCUGAAAAUGUCCAGAGAAACAGCAGCAAGAAAUGGGAAGAAAAAGCCAAGAGGGAAUGGCUUGCUUUGGCAAGUUCAUGGGAAUAUCAGUUUGAAACAUGAUCUCUUCUAAUUACCAGCACUGCCUCACCACAGAGGAAUGGAGCUGACCUUCUAACACAGCAGCAGCAGCCGGGUCUGUGCAGAGAGCAAGGCUGGAGGCAGCCUGAGCCAGGACGGCAUGUUUGUAAUGGGCUGACCUGGGGGUAAAUGCCCCCGCCAGGGUGGCAGCCUCGGCCUCGGCCUCUGCGCCUCUUUCCUUACAAACAGGCCAGGCAGACUGGGCAUCUCGUUUCACGGAAUCACUAAAACCACUGUCUCUCUCUGCGUAUUAGGUAUCGAAGACUGUAGGAAAUAAUGUACUUUUGUUUAAUUGUGUUACCCAUCUCAAAAUUAUUAAAGAAGUCAUUUCUACUAAAAUCUUCCUUUGAGAUGGUGACCCCUUUUA